rnacentral:rRNA from 1 species
GACGAACCGUGCGAACGUUAUUCGGAAUCACUGGGCUUAAAGCGCGUGUAGGCGGGACGGCACGUCGGUCGCUGAAAGCCCCCGGCUCAACCGGGGAACGGGCGCCGAUACGACCGCCCUGGAGGGACGUAGGGGGACCUGGAACUUCCGGUGGAGCGGUGAAAUGCGUUGAGAUCCGGAGGAACACCAAUGGCGAAGGCAGGGUCCUGGCUGGCACCUGACGCUCAUGUGCGAAAGCCAGGGGAGCGAACGGG